GCUGGGCAUGGUGGCAUGUGCUUCUAGUCCCAGCUAUUUGCGGGAGCUGAAGCAGGAGGAAUACUGGGGGCCAAAAGUUCUGGGCCAUAGUGCUCAUGCCAACUGGAUGUCUGCACUAAGUUUGGCAUCAGUAUGGUGACCUCCUGGGAGUGGGGCCUACCAGGCUGGCAAAAGAGGGGUGAAUGGAACCAGAUCAGAAGCAGAGGAGCUUAUAACUCCUGUGCUGAUCAGUAGUUAGAUUGCCUGUGAAUAGCUACUGCACUUCAUCCUGGGCAGCAUAGUGAGACCCUAUUUAA
rnacentral:SRP_RNA from 1 species